AGUGAACGCUGGCGGCGUGCCUAAUACAUGCAAGUCGAACGGAGUGGCGCACGGGUGAGUAAUGUAUAGCUAAUCUGACCUCCACUAGAGGACAACAGUUGGAAAAGGCUGCUAAUACUCUAUAGUUUAGGAUGAGGCUCUAUUGUAUCAGCUAGUUGGGGAGGGAAUGGCUCACCAAGGCUAUGACGCAUAACUGGUAUGAGAGGAUGAUCAGUCAAACUGGAACUUAGACACAGUACAGAUUCCGACGGGAGGCAGCAGUAGUGAAUAUUGCUCAAUGGGGGAAACCCUGAAGCAGCAACGCCGCGUGGAGGAUGACACUUUUCGGAGCGUAAAAUCCUUUUGUUAGGGAAGCGGUACCUAACGAAUAAGCACCGGCUAACUCCGUGCCAGCAGCCGCGGUAAUUC
rnacentral:rRNA from 1 species